rnacentral:tRNA from 1 species
GGGGUUGUAGCUUAGUGGUUGAGCGCUUGCCUUGCAUGCAUGAGGCAUUGGGUUCUAUCCUUAGCACCA